GUUAGGAAUAUUCGUCAAUGGGGGAAACCCUGAACGAGCAAUGCCGCGUGAGUGAUGACGGUCUUAUAGAUUGUAAAACUCUGUUGUGAAGAAAGAAACCUUACUAUAGGUAAUGAUAGUAAGCUGACGGUACUUCACCAGAAAGCCCCGGCUAACUACGUGCCAGCAGCCGCGGUAAUACGUAGGGGGCGAGCGUUAUCCGGAUUUAUUGGGCGUAAAGCGUGUGUAGGCGGUUUGUUAAGUCUAAGAUCAAAGCCCGAGGCUCAACCUCGGUUCGUCUUAGAAACUGGCAGACUUGAGUGCAGUAGAGGCAAGUGGAAUUUCUAGUGUAGCGGUUAAAUGCGUAGAUAUUAGAAGGAACACCAGUGGCGAAGGCGGCUUGCUGGGCUGUUACUGACGCUGAGACACGAAAGCGUGGGGAGCAAAUAGGAUUAGAAACCCUAGUAGUCC
rnacentral:rRNA from 1 species